GUGACGAGGGCAAAGGAGUGGCAAGAGCGCACCGCUGCAGGGGUCGCACUCAGAUUGCUUGGUAGACAAAACUCCAC
rnacentral:ribozyme from 1 species